GGCACUGGUGGCGGCACGCCCGCACCUCGGGCCAGGGUUCGAGUCCCUGCAGUACC
rnacentral:sRNA from 7 species